UGGAUGGACAGACAGACAGAUGGACUAAAUAAUGGACAGGUGGAAAGACAGAUGGACAGAUGGAAAGAUGAAUGGAUGGGGUGGAAGGGUGAGGGGUAAGUGGACUGACAGUUGAAAAUACAAAUGAAUGACCCCCCCCCCCAAGGCAGGUGAGUCACCUGCUCACACUGGCUUGAGCUGACACAGGAGGUGACAGGCCAGUGGGUUGCUGGGCAGGCAGAGGUCUUGGCUGGGGAGAGCCCUACACGGUCUGGGGAGAGCAUCAAGCUGGGCCCCCACAGCUUGGGUUUGGCUCCAGGCUCUGCCCUCUCGAUGUGUGACCGUGGGCCAGUAGUGUUCCAGCUCUGAGUGUAGCAUGGCUAGCAGAAGGCACAGGCCAAGGGAACCCUCUGGGGCCGUUCAUCUAACGGGCAAGCAUUACCAUUAUCAACACCGAGGCCGGCCUCAGGCCUCCUCCAGCAACACCAGAGCCCCGCUGCACAGCCCUGCUCAGCCGGUCUUCUAGAAGGAGACACAUCACACAAACAACCCAGGCCUGGGCUGCCGCAAAGGGCUCUGGGAAAGGGGUUGGCGCUGGCCCCAUGAGGCACAGGGACUUUCUGGCCAAGGGGCUUGACACAUUCCAAAAUCCAUUGUUACAUUUCACAAGAAAAGGAAUAACUCUUAAGUUAUUUUUUUUUUAAAGCCUCCAGACAGAAGAGAGGCAGCAGAGUGAAAGCCCCACGUGGAGGUGUGGGCCCUCCUUUCCCAUCAAAUGCAGGCAAACACAAACAUUUUCUUUUUUACUAUCAUUUCGUGAUUUGCUUCCGUCCUUUAUCAACAUGCCUGGGACGGCUUGUCACCACGGUUCCUGCAAACUCCAUUCCUGUGCACGUCCACGGGUGCACGUGGUGUGGCCAAGGGGUACAGUGCAGGGCGGCGGGGGGGGGGGGGGGCAGGAGUGAGCCAGGCUGCCUGGGCUCGGCCCGUCCCCACUGUGUGACCCAGCUGAACCCCUAGCCCGCCUAGUGUCCUCGUCCGUGAAGUGGAAAUUCUAUUACCUACUGCCGUACAGCUUUGGGAGGACCGAAGGGUCAGUGGCUGUAAAGUUCUUGCAGCCACUCCUGGCAGGCAGUGAGGCACUCUAAAUAUCACCGCUCCGACUUAAUUCAUCAGUGAUACACGUUGGCUUGUUUCCAGUUUGUAACAGAGAGGCCUCCCAUAAGCCUGCUUUGGGGGUUUUGUCCUUUCGGGGGAGCACACUCAGAGGGGGACGGCUGGGUCAAAGACACCUGCUCUAUCCGUAAUUUUCACACCUUUGCCACUGGGGCAGGAUUUGGAGAGGCGGAGGAAAGGCAGUGGGGUUUCUGGGAGAGAUGGUUCAGGGGCCCGGAGCGGGCACGGGGCCCAGGCUGGCCCCAGAGACUGCCAGCCUUGGCAUUUCCAGAAAAUGGGCCUCCACGGCCAGGAGAGCCCAGGGUCUCACCCAGCUCGCUCUGUGACCGAGAGCAAGCCACGGACCCCCGAGCCACGCUUUCUACGUCUAUAACACGGGACAGGAGAUGAGAGUAUAGGCACUGGGCCUGGGCCCUGCCAUGCUUUGAUCUACAUAACACCCAACUGGUUGCUGCAGACCGCACGGCCCCAGGCGGUGGGUAAGAAUGCACCCAUCUUUGGAAGGAGGGGUCUCCGGUGUGGCUGGUGUGUGGGGUGAGAUGAGCCCCAGACCCAGUCCUUCUGGACACCCUACCCUGCCUGACAUCCCGAGGGGUUAGGGCCCGGGGCCUGGGGUCUCUAAGCCUGUGUGGCCCCCUCCCUGGGAGGGAGGGACCUCAGGGCUACUGAAAGGAAUCUAGUCAAAGCCCCCCCCGCCCCCCCCCCCCACACCCCCAGCCAAGUUCAACAGACAAAAUUCACAGGUGUCUGCACUUGGCCCGCACUCUGUUUUGCUCGGUUACAGGGCCCUCCCUCCCUUCUCAGAAAAUAGACCACAGCUACAAAACAUAUUCUUCUCUAGCCUGACCACAGCCCACAUCCCGGACAAGCCCCAGGCAGAGCCCCUCCUGGCACCCUCCUGCCCUACCUGGCCACGUGUGGACCCCUCCCCAACCUCCACCCCUCCACGGCACAGCUACAAACCCUCCCACAUCCUUCCAGACCCCUCAGAAGGCCCCUGACAGAAACUCAGGGCCGACAUCCCUCCUGAUGUCUGGCCCUUACCCCCCUCGCAAGUGAAUCCCCUCCGUCCCCACUCAUGGCUCUACUUGGUGCGAUCAUAGGCCGCUCGUGUCACCAGCCACCCCAGCAGCUACAAAGCAUGUAACAGAGCGCUCCCCGCUGCCUCCCUGCCGGGGGCACUGCCUUUACCCCUGACGUUGCACAUGGCUUCAGACUCAGGCUCCCGGCCCCCUGGAGCCACUCCCCGCGGGACAGACGGGGACACUGUGGGCCAGAGACAAAGAGCAGGCGGGAACCAGCAAGGAGAAGAAUUCGAGGCCCGCUCUGCCGUGAUGACAUCGAUGGACUCAAUCUCCUAGAUGCAGUUUCUCUAUCUCCGAACAGGACAACAGCUACCCGGGACAGGGUCAAGGGAGCAUCUCCCAGACCGUGGCAACCCCUUCAGGCCUUGCCCGGGAAGCAUCUUGACCCUGGAGUGCACUGGCCGGAAGGGCUGAGGAUGGUUGCUGGCCCGGGGUCGUAGGUGUUGCAUCUGAACAAAGGUGACCUCUGAUCCCUCACCCCCCAUCCAAGAUGCAGGGAGUUGGACUGAGGAACAGGAAGCUCUCUCCAAAGCGGGACCUGAAUGCCUGAAGCCUUCUGCCAGGCAGGCAUUCGUUCCCCCGCUCAUUCCGGCGUGCGUGUUCUCGUGCAGGCCUCGUGCUGGGCACUGGGGUCCAGAAGUGGCCUAGAUGCUACCCUCGUCCCCCCUGCAGGCCCGCCCCGGCCGGGGAGUAUAUACUAUCUAUUCUUGCAUAACAAAUUAUCCCCCCAAACUUAGCAGCUUCGAUGCCAAAUAUUUAUUACCUCACAGCUUCUGAGGGUCAGGAAUCGGGGAAGAGCUUGGCUGGCUGGCUGUGGCUCAGGGUCUCUCACGAGGCUGUGGUCAAGCCGUGGGCACGGGCUGCACCAUCUGAAGGCCUGACGCGGGGCUAGGGGGACCCCCUUCCAAGGUGACUCUCUCGUGUGGCUGUCGGCUGGAGGCUUCGGUUCCUCACGCGGGGACCUCUCUACAGGACUGGUCCCCACAUGGCUCCCAGCUUCCCCUGGAGCUGGUGAUCCAAGAGGGAGAGAAAGGGGGCGGCCCAACGCCUUGGUGACUGUCUUGUAAGUGACACAAUGUCAUUCCCAGCGAAUUUUUUUCUUUUAUUAAAUUUUUUUUAAAUGUGUA